rnacentral:rRNA from 1 species
AACGUAGGACGCGAGCGUUAUCCGGAGUUACGGGGCGUAAAGCGCGGGCAGGCGGUCUGACAAGUCUGAUGUGAAAUCUCCGGGCUUAACCGGGAGAGGCCAUUGGAAACUGACAGGCUGGAGGGCAGUAGAGGUAGGCGGAAUUCCGGGUGGGGUGGUGAAAUGCGUAGAGAUCCGGAGGAACACCAGAGGCGAAGGCGGCCUACUGGGCUGCACCUGACGCUGAGCCGCGAAAGCCAGGGGAGCGAACGGG